rnacentral:tRNA from 3 species
GGACCUUUAGCUCAGUUGGUUAGAGCAAUCGGCUCAUAACCGAUCGGUCCCGGGUUCGAGUCCCUGAAGGUCCA